UCCAGCAGCCGCGGUAAUACGUUCCCGGGCCUUGUACACACCGCCCGUCACGCCAUGGAAGCUGUGAGCGCCCGAAGUCCGUGUCGGAACCGCAAGGACCAAGCGGCCGAAGGCGAGCGCAGUGACUGGGGCGAAGUCGUAACAAGGUAGCCGUAGGGGAACCUGCGGCUGGAUCACCUCCUUAACGGAUCUGGCGAGUAGGAGCCGACGAUCGUCGAGCGCUGAAAACCUCCCGUAUGGUCGCCGUCUCGCCAUCCAUUCCCGAAUUCGAUUUUCUUAUUGCAGCUCCUCGUCGGCGUGCCGCGCGCAGCGCGGCCGUCGGCGUCGCUGUUUGACAACGGAAGUAAUGGUAGAUCGUGGGAUAGCGAAUUCACACUGAGAGACCUUCGCAAGAUUGUCACUCGUGAAGAUCGCGCGUGCUCUGCUUGCUACGAGGUAGGAGUUGUAGUCAAGCGGACGGAGGCAUGUGGAGGAUACCUAGGCACACAGAGAAUA
rnacentral:misc_RNA from 1 species